AAGUUUGUUAUUGGUAUGAGCUUUCGCGUGCAUGCACACUUCUUCAGAUGUGUGCAUGCACACGAAAGCUCAUACCAAUAACAAACUU
rnacentral:miRNA from 1 species